rnacentral:rRNA from 1 species
CACCGGCGGCUCGAGUGGUGGCCACUUUUAUUGGGUCUAAAGCGUCCGUAGCCGGCUUGGCAAGUCCCCUGGGAAAUCUGGCGGCUUAACCGUCAGGCGUCCAGAGGAUACUGCCAGGCUUGGGACCGGGAGAGGUGAGAGGUACCUCAGGGGUAGGGGUGAAAUGUGUUGAUCCUUGGAGGACCACCUAUGGCGAAGGCACUUGUCUGGAACGGGUCCGACGGUGAGGGACGAAAGCCAGGGGCGCGAACCGG